rnacentral:snRNA from 1 species
GUGCUUGCUUCAGCAGCACAUAUACUAAAAUUGGAACAAUACAGAAAAGAUUAGGAUGGCCCUUGUGAAAGCAUGACGUGCAAACCCAUGAAGCAUUCCAUAUUUUU